GGGAUUGUGGCUCAGUGGUAGAGCACUUGCCUUGCAUGCAGGAGGCAGGAGGCCCUGGGUUCAAUCCUCAGCACCA
rnacentral:tRNA from 1 species